GGCAUAUUCAAGGGGUUAAGACACCGCCUUUUCACGGCGGUAACACGGGUUCGAAUCCCGUACGGACU
rnacentral:tRNA from 1 species